rnacentral:rRNA from 1 species
GACGAACGCUGGCGGCGUGCCUAAUGAAUGCGAGUCGAACGGAACAUAGAGAUCGUAAUCGCCUUCGGGCGGUUACCCUUUAUGUUUAGUGGCAAACGGGUGAGUAACACGUGGAUAACGUGCCUCCAAGCCGAGGAUAACAGGACGAAAGCCCUGCUAAUACUCGAUGGUCUGCCCCCGCUCUGGCGGGGACCAGUAAAGCUCCGGCGCUUGGAGAUCGGUCCGCGGUCCAUUAGCUUGUUGGUGAGGUAACGGCUCACCAAGGCGACAAUGGAUAGCUGGUCUGAGAGGACGAUCAGCCACACUGGGACUGAGACAUGGUCCAGACUCCUACGGGAGUUAGCAUCCGGGAAUCUUGCACAAUGGGCGCAAGCCUGAUGCAGCGACGCCGCGUGGGUGAUGAAGGUCUGCGGAUCGUAAAGCCCUGUCAGGAGGGACGACACCCGACUGUACCUCCAAAGGAAGCCCCGGCUAACUACGUGCCAGCAGCCGCGGUAAAACGUAGGGGGCUAGCGUUGUCCGGAAUUACUGGGCGUAAAGGGCACGCAGGCGGUCUGUAAAGCGGUGGGUGCAAUCUCGAGGCUCAACCUCGAAACUGCUUGCCGAACUGGCAGACUAGAGCACGGGAGAGGACAGUGGAAUUCCCGGUGUAGCGGUGGAAUGCGUAAAUAUCGGGAGGAACACCAGUGGCGAAGGCUGCUGUCUGGAACGUUGCUGACGCUGAGGUGCGAAAGCUAGGGGAGCGAACG